UUCAUGAUUAUGAUUUAUUGGUCAAAUUCAUAUUUUGCAUAUAACACAAGUUUUCAUUAUUCCUAAUAGACUGAAUUGUUUCAUUUUGGGAACUAAUUACCGCUAUGACUUGUGGCACAACUUUGUUUGAAGUGCUUAGAUCUUUGAUUAACAAAAAUAAAAAAUACAAUAUUCCACGUAGUCAUAGAGCUUGCCACUGUGCUUGACGUGUUAUAUGGGAUUGACAACGACAACGCGAUUUUAGGCUGAAAUCUGACUGAUUAUAAAGUUCCUAUAAGAGUAAUUUGUUUUCCUUUAAAAUAUUUUGCUCUGCGAUAAAGUCAUUUUCCAGAAAACUGUAUUUGAAACCUUUUAAAAAACAGGAACACCUGAUUUUUGUUGUUACUAACAUUAACCAACAUUUUAGGACAAUUGUCUUAAGAUGCUGAAAAUUGUGCUUGGUCCUUCUCUAUUUUCUCCGAGCUCGCACAACGGAUUAAGAACAAAUUUCCUCAGGUGUUUUAUUCAAUGUUUAUGGUUGAUCACACAAAACGUUACACUGUAUGCAACUUUAUUGCCAGUUGUUCCAAAUCCCGUAUAAUGCCUUUAAUCAGCUUAAUUUGUUUUGCAAUUUUUUUCUUUUCUUUGGUGUAUCUCAAUUUUAUUUCUUAACUUUCUUCUGUGCCUUCCUUAAUAUUUGUUUUUAUUUUAAAUGUUACAUUCUGUUCUUGAUGUAUUUCUCACAAUUAAUAUAAACUACUAUCAUUGGACAGGGUAGUGCGGUGACCCUUUGUGAUGUAUAAUCUAUAUGCUGCAUAAUAAAAACAUAAUCUUGAAUACAAA